rnacentral:rRNA from 1 species
UACGUAGGGGGCGAGCGUUGUCCGGAGUUCUGGGCGUAAAGGGCGUGCAGGCGGUGCGGUAAGUUUAGCGUGACAGUCUCCGGCUUAACUGGAGAAGGCCGCUGAAAACUGCUGGACUUGAGGGCCAGAGAGGGACAUAGAAUUCCGGGUGGAGUGGUGAAAUGCGUAGAUAUCCGGAGGAAUACCAAAGGCGAAGGCAGUGUCCUGGCUGGCAACUGACGCCUGGAGGCGCGAAAGCUAGGGGAGCGAACAGG